rnacentral:lncRNA from 1 species
UGCAAUAAGAUAUAGACGGUGAUUGGAGUCGUUUCUCUUUUUGCUUCCAGAGGGAGCUCAAACCUGAAGCAUCAAGGUUAUCUUUUUCCAAAGGAUUUGUGUGAACCUAAGUUCGGUACCUGCGACGAGUAAAAACACUUAUUUGACCCUCUAGAGACUCAGCUAGAACUGACUGAGCAAAGGGAAAUCGGGCAAAAGAAAGGGAAGGUACUGAGGAGAAAACGGUAAGCGGAGGUCUGGGGUGGGAUAGUGCGCAGGGGUUCCUCUGACCGGGCGGCGGGACCCAGCUGCCGCGCAGGUAAAUCCCAAUACGCCUGGCACUGGGGUUCUGGACAGACUUGGUCUAAAUACAGCCACGUGCUCGGGGCUGCUGUGCUCCAGCUGUGCGUUUCGGAGCGGUUUGCGCGCACGCGCACGUACACACACUCACACGGGCGCGUGCCUCUGUCCUGGCGCUGGGGCCUGAGGUUGUCCAAGCAGCGGAACCCCCCUGUUCCCGCCGGCCACUUGAUGAUGUCGCUCAAACUAGAUACGGGGUCUCUCUAGUCAAGGAGGGCGGGCAGACAGAGGCGCCCGGCUUGUGGGUAUCCAGCCCCACGUAGGGGAAGGGCUCAUAGAGGGGCAGAGCCCAGGGAGAAGCGACAUGCCCCCGGCUCCGUGCUCCUCUUCGCCUAUCGGCCGGGUCACCUGUCAGCCGGUGCUCUCUCGGCUGGCUCCCCGUCCCUCCUCGCUCCCCGCAGCCACGCAACAACGCGCUGUCAGCCCGAGCUGGGCGCCUUGGCCUCUUUCUGGUGCCCCAGCCCUGCGAGCCAGGGCUCACCCCACACUGACGCUUCCAGGCAGAUGUUGUUAUCUCCCGCUGAGAGGCGCGGCCGGCGGGGCCGGAUCCUCCGCUUCCCGCGACUGCCGGAGUCGCGCUGGACUAGGCUGACCGCGCAGGGCGGCGAGGCUGGAAGGGAGGUCUCCGCCCGACAAUGCGCAGGUGCCAGAGGAGCCAGGAGGAGUGAGAAGCGCCCUAGACCCGCGGCCUCAAGCGCCAUGCACGUCAAGGGGAAGUGACUCCGGAGUUGUGCCAGGAAGAACACCAAGAACGAGCUGUGCGUUUUUGCGCAGAGAAGUAGUCUUCGCAAGACCGCAGCUCCCUGCCGAAGGCCCAGAAAGGGAGUGCGGGGGAGAGGGCAAACUAUCACUCCCGAGGACUUGGGGCACGACUAUCACACGCAACUGGGAGAUCCUGGAAGACGGAGGAAAAACGAACAAGGGGACAUGGCCCUCACUGCAGUGACAGGGCUUUCCUUCAGUCAGUGGCCACAAUAAAUUUAACCAAGGCUAAAGGAGAUUAAUUUCCCAGCAUAAUCCAAUUAAAAGAUUUCUAAAGUAAUCUUUUGCGAAAAUGAAAAGUGCGCGACUAAAGAGGGGACUGGUUUUGAUGACAGUGAUUUAUCGCCUCAGCACAGCACGCACGGGACGCUGUCUCUCCAAGCGAUUUGACCAGAGCAUCCCGUCCUCGCCUCCUGUCCAAACCUUCCUCUUCCUGAAAGACAGCCAUCUAUCACGCCAACCUGGGCAGGAGAGAAUGUGCAAGGGGCUGGGGCGGCUUACAAGCACCACAGACCUUUUUAAGUGCUAUUAGAUUUAUGGUCUCUUUUUCGACACCCAUCCAGAGUAAUUAGCACAUAUGUUCUAAAUAGAUGAUAGUUUUGUGAGCAAUAAAGCAAUUACCCAUCGUUGGAGCUGACAGUUCCUCCAACUAAACUCCAACCAGCAGCUAAUUGGAAAAGUCAUUUCAGCUCCAUUGUCUGCAAUUAGUCCUGCUAAACUACUACACCCCAACUAGCUGGUUUGAGUUUAAUUUAUUCAAUGUUGUGUUUGCAUGGACAAGCCUUUGCCACGAAGGGACUUGCCUUUUGCCCCUCUAGACUGCGCCCAGGGACUAGAAGAGCAAGUGGGAGUGAGCAGCCGAUAUCUGGGGGCUGGGAUGGCCCCCGGGGGAGGAGGCACCCGACUGGGCCUCAGCUUCAAGUUAAGCCCAACAGGUCCAGGAUUUGUGCACAGUGAGUGGAAAAAAUGUGUUAAACGUCGGUUUGACGCCCCACCGGAGCUUCC